GUGUUUCUAGCAGAGUUGGAGGAUAAGUAUAACUACAGGAACCCAUAUGAAAUAUCAUCUCACAUUAAUAAUUUGGUAGUUUUUGAGAUGGUGCUCCAUGGCGUAUGUUGCGGCAUUUUCCUUGUGACAGGGCAUUGGUUCAUGUUCCAGCUUACAUUCACCUUUGUUAUAUAUAAUACUAUCUUAUUCUUUAAUGGACAACAUAAUAUUGAUGUAACUACGCAUUUCGGAUCCUUUAAGGCUAAAACGACGUAUCAAUUUGUUAAGCUUGCAUUUUAUUGGCCCCUCCUUGUUGUAGUAAUCGACAGGAUGGUUACAUGGGCUUGGAGUACAUAGAUUCAUGGAUUAUAAACAUUAGUUGUAGCUCUUAUGGGGCUGCGUGUGGUUCGAGGAAAGAGUCACACAACAUAGUUUGAAUCUCUGUUCAUCAGGUUUUGUAAAAUUCUUGUACUUUUGUUGACGUAAACAGUUGCUUUGGGGUUGUAGUAAACCAAUAUGCUUGUGAUGAUAUGA